AUGCAACCCAUUAAGCCAACCGGGUUCCUUUACUCUCAGGGGCCUGGUUUGCAGUGGCUGUGAACAUCAUCUCCCUUGGUGAUAUAGCAAGUCUAUUUCUAUAUGGAUUGGCCUAAGGGACCUUGGAGACAAUG
rnacentral:snoRNA from 1 species